AUUGAACGCUGGCGGCAGGCUUAACACAUGCAAGUCGAGCGGGGGAAGGUAGCUUGCUACCGGACCUAGCGGCGGACGGGUGAGUAAUGCUUAGGAAUCUGCCUAUUAGUGGGGGACAACAUCUCGAAAGGGAUGCUAAUACCGCAUACGUCCUACGGGAGAAAGCAGGGGAUCUUCGGACCUUGCGCUAAUAGAUGAGCCUAGUGCGGAUUAGCUAGUUGGUGGGGUAAAGGCCUACCAAGGCGACGAUCUGUAGCGGGUCUGAGAGGAUGAUCCGCCACACUGGGACUGAGACACAGCCCAGACUCCUACGGGAGGCAGCAGUGGGGAAUAUUGGACAAUGGGGGGAACCCUGAUCCAGCCAUGCCGCGUGUGUGAAGAAGGCCUUAUGGUUGUAAAGCACUUUAAGCGAGGAGGAGGCUACUUUAGUUAAUACCUAGAGAUAGUGGACGUUACUCGCAGAAUAAGCACCGGCUAACUCUGUGCCAGCCGCCGCAGUAAUAC
rnacentral:rRNA from 1 species